rnacentral:rRNA from 1 species
UACGUAGGGGGCAAGCGUUGUCCGGAUUUACUGGGCGUAAAGAGCGUGUAGGCGGCCAAACAGGUCCGUUGUGAAAACUGGAGGCUCAACCUCCAGACGUCGACGGAAACCGUAUGGCUAGAGUCCGGAAGAGGAGAGUGGAAUUCCUGGUGUAGCGGUGAAAUGCGCAGAUAUCAGGAAGAACACCUAUGGCGAAGGCAGCUCGCUGGGACGUUACUGACGCUGAGACGCGAAAGCGUGGGGAGCAAACAGG